UACGUAGGGACCGAGCGUUGUCCGGAAUCAUUGGGCGUAAAGAGCGUGUAGGCGGCCAACUAAGUCCUGCGUGAAAUCUCGGGGCUCAACCCCGAGCGGUCGUGGGAAACUGGUUGGCUAGAGUGCGGGAGAGGAGAGUGGAAUUCCUGGUGUAGCGGUGAAAUGCGCAGAUAUCAGGAAGAACACCCGUGGCGAAGGCGGCUCGCUGGGACGUUACUGACGCUGAGACGCGAAAGCGUGGGGAGCAAACAGG
rnacentral:rRNA from 1 species